rnacentral:tRNA from 1 species
AAGAAAGGAAGGAGUCGAACCCCCUAGAACUAGUUUCAAGCCAGCCCCAUAUCCCAUAUGUCUCUCUC